rnacentral:rRNA from 1 species
CAGCUAUACUGCAGUCGAGCGACAGAUAAGGAGCUUGCUCCUUUGACGUUAGCGGCGGACGGGUGAGUAACACGUGGGUAACCUACCUAUAAGACUGGAAUAACUCCGGGAAACCGGGGCUAAUGCCGGAUAACAUUUAGAACCGCAUGGUUCUAAAGUGAAAGAUGGUUUUGCUAUCACUUAUAGAUGGACCCGCGCCGUAUUAGCUAGUUGGUAAGGUAACGGCUUACCAAGGCAACGAUACGUAGCCGACCUGAGAGGGUGAUCGGCCACA